UCUAAUAUGGCAGAAUAGUGCAUUGGAUUUAAACCCCAAAAAUAAAGCUUUAACUUUUUUUAGAA
rnacentral:tRNA from 1 species